rnacentral:rRNA from 1 species
UACGUAGGGUGCAAGCGUUAAUCGGAAUUACUGGGCGUAAAGCGUGCGCAGGCGGUUGUGCAAGACAGAUGUGAAAUCCCCGGGCUUAACCUGGGAACUGCAUUUGUGACUGCACAGCUGGAGUGCGGCAGAGGGGGAUGGAAUUCCGCGUGUAGCAGUGAAAUGCGUAGAUAUGCGGAGGAACACCGGUGGCGAAGGCAAUCCCCUGGGCCUGCACUGACGCUCAUGCACGAAAGCGUGGGGAGCAAACAGG